rnacentral:rRNA from 1 species
UACGGGGGGGGCAAGCGUUGUUCGGAAUUACUGGGCGUAAAGGGCUCGUAGGCGGCCAACUAAGUCCGACGUGAAAUCCCCAGGCUUAACCUGGGAACUGCGUCGGAUACUGGAUGGCUUGAAUCCGGGAGAGGGAUGCGGAAUUCCAGGUGUAGCGGUGAAAUGCGUAGAUAUCUGGAGGAACACCGGUGGCGAAGGCGGCAUCCUGGACCGGCAUUGACGCUGAGGAGCGAAAGCGUGGGGAGCAAACAGG